UGCGUAGGCGGUUUAUCAAGUCAGGGGUGAAAGGCUACGGCUCAACCGUAGUGAGCCUCUGAAACUGGUGAACUUGAGUGUAGGAGAGGAAAGUGGAAUUCCCAGUGUAGCGGUGAAAUGCGUAGAUAUUGGGAGGAACACCAGUGGCGAAGGCGACUUUCUGGACUACAACUGACGCUGAGGCACGAAAGCGUGGGGAAGCAAACAG
rnacentral:rRNA from 1 species